rnacentral:rRNA from 1 species
AGUGAACGCUGGCGGUAGACCUAACACAUGCAAGUCGAACGGCAGCACAGUAAGAGCUUGCUCUUACGGGUGGCGAGUGGCGGACGGGUGAGGAAUACAUCGGAAUCUACUUUUUCGUGGGGGAUAACGUAGGGAAACUUACGCUAAUACCGCAUACGACCUACGGGUGAAAGCAGGGGAUCUUCGGACCUUGCGCGAUUGAAUGAGCCGAUGUCGGAUUAGCUAGUUGGCGGGGUAAAGGCCCACCAAGGCGACGAUCCGUAGCUGGUCUGAGAGGAUGAUCAGCCACACUGGAACUGAGACACGGUCCAGACUCCUACGGGAGGCAGCAGUGGGGAAUAUUGGACAAUGGGCGCAAGCCUGAUCCAGCCAUACCACGUGGGUGAAGAAGGCCUUCGGGUUGUAAAGCCCUUUUGUUGGGAAAGAAAAGCAGCAGGUUAAUACCCCGCUGUUCUGACGGUACCCAAAGAAUAAGCACCGGCUAACUUCGUG